CGGCGGACGGGNGGAGUAACACGUGGAUAACCUACCUAUAAGACUGGGAUAACUUCGGGAAACCGGAGCUAAUACCGGAUAAUAUAUUGAACCGCAUGGUCAAUAGUGAAAGACGGUUUUGCUGUCACUUAUAGAUGGAUCCGCGCCGCAUUAGCUAGUUGGUAAGGUAACGGCUUACCAAGGCAACGAUGCGUAGCCGACCUGAGAGGGUGAUCGGCCACACUGGAACUGAGACACGGUCCAGACUCCUACGGGAGGCAGCAGUC
rnacentral:rRNA from 1 species